GACCUCGGAUUAGGUAGGAAUACCCGCUGAACUUAAGCAUAUCAAAA
rnacentral:rRNA from 1 species